GAUGAACGUUGGCGGCGUGCCUAAUACAUGCAAGUCGAACGAAGACUGUAGUAAUACUGUCUUAGUGGCGAACGGGUGAGUAACGCGUGGGUGACCUGCCCCGAAGUGUGGGAUAACAGUUCGAAAGGAUUGCUAAUACUGCAUAAUAUCCAAGAGAUUAGACGCUUUUUGGAUUAAAGGAGUAAUUCGCUUCGGGAGGGGCCCGCGUCCCAUCAGCUAGUUGGUAAGGUAAUGGCUUACCAAGGCGAUGACGGGUAGGGGACCUGAGAGGGUGGCCCCCACAAUGGAACUGAAACACGGUCCAUACACCUACGGGUGGCAGCAGUAGGGAAUAUUAGUAAUGGGCGAAAGCCUGAACUAGCAACGCCGCGUGUGCGAAGAAGGCCUUCGGGUUGUAAAGGCACUUUUUGAGUAGGAUGAGGAAGGACGGUACGUCUCAGAAUAAGUCUCGGCUAACUACGUGCCAGCAGCCGCGGUAAGAGUGUGUGUA
rnacentral:rRNA from 1 species